rnacentral:rRNA from 1 species
GACGAACGCUGGCGGCGUGCCUAAUACAUGCAAGUCGAGCGGACGGAUGGUAGCUUGCUCCCGUACCGUCAGCGGCGGACGGGUGAGUAACACGUGGGCACCCUGCCUGUAAUUCUGGGAUAACUCCGGGAAACCGGGGCAAAUCCCGGAUAACUCUUUCCCUCCCUUGAGGGAAAGCUGAAAUAUGGCCUCUCGCUAUCACUUACAGAUGUGCCCGCGGCGCAUUAGCUAGGUGGUGAGGUAACGGCUCACCAAGGCGACGAUGCGGAGCCGACCUGAGAGGGUGAUCAGCCACACUGGGACUGAGACACGGCCCAGACUCCUACGGGAGGCAGCAGUAGGGAAUCUGGCGCAAUGGGCGAAAGUCUGACGGAGCAACGCCGCGUGCGUGAUGAAGGUUUUCGGAUCGUAAAACUCUGUUGUCAGGGAAGAAACAGUACCGGAGUAACUGCCGGUACGUUGACGGUACCUGACUAGAAAGCCACGGCUAACUUCGUG